UCCCCUGGCACCCAGGGCAGAGCAUGGGGGUGUCACUCAUCGGUCCUGGGCUCACCCUGGUUGGCCUCCCUCUGCCUCUUCCGACACAGGAUCUUCCCGAUACACCCAGGUGAAUGGGGGCACAUCAUGGUGGCUCAGAGUGCCAAAGAAGAGGGCAGGACCACGGAGCUUCCCCAAGGGACACAAUUCUAAGGGAUGGGUCUCCUGGGAGGGCAGAACCCCAAGAAGAUGGAGUUCCCAGGGAUCAAAAAUCAAAGGAGUUGGGGCUGGGGAUUUAGCUCAGCGGCAUAAGCGCCUGCCUUGCAAGCAGGCAGUCGUGAGUUCGAUCCCUGGUACUGAUAAAAAACAAAACAAAACAAAACAAAAAAGAAAUCAAAGGAGUCAGAGCUGGGGUGAGGUUUGGAAUUUUUGGAAUGGGGGCAAGGCGCACCCCUCCAAGGAUUCUUGGAGAGCAGAACCUUCUAGAUGAAGAAUUCUAACUGAGCAGGGACUUCUGAGGGACACAAUUCCAAGGGGGCAAAGCAAGGCGUAACAUCCUAUGGGGCAAGGAAUUAACGGGCAGUGCCGGCCAGAGGAUGGCUCCAUUUCCUCCGUAAUCAAAUCUGGGAUUUCGAGGCCUCUGCGUGCUUGCCUGCGCGCAUGUGUGCGUGUCAAAGCCUCCUGCAUAGUGGAAUUCUAGCUGGGUGGAAAUUCAAGGGGAGGGCUAGUUGGGAACAAACUACAAACUGCGAAGGGAAGCAGCAGCGGGAAAAGGAACUAAAGGGAUUAAAAAUUGGGUAGCGGAGCCUCCCUGGAAUAUUUAUUGUGAGGGGUCAGAGCCUACCGCCGAAUGUCUCCUAGGGAACCAAAUUAAGGGUUGAGGGGAUGCAGGGAAUUUGCAGGUCUUAGAUCUCUAAGCAGCAGCGGUUCCCAAAGCAGCAUUCCCAAGGCGGGGCUUCAAAAUGAUAGACAACAAUAGGGGCGGGACUUCCAAGCCCACUGGGCUCCGACUGGCUCAGCACGCGAGGAGGCGGGGCCUCAGUCAGAGAGCAAAUUCCGGGGCGGUGGGGGUCCGCGGGGAAGCUCUCCCAGGCCGGGGCCUCGCCGGGACUGAAGACUGGGCCUCCGCAGAGACGGGGCUCACCCGCGGUGCAGAGGCGGUGCAUGCGCAGGACAGAGGCUGGGCCCGGGGGCCUCUGGCGCACUGGAGUAACCUGCAGGUGUUGACGGUGAGUAACCAUGUGAUGUGUGUGCUUAGGUGUGCGUGCAAUUCCAUGCAUGGCUUUCAUAUAAACACCUUGGGAAGAGGACUACAUACCAGUGACAGUAAUGACAGUGUUGGUGUAUUACACACUCACGGAGCUAGAGACCCCACAAAAUCCUUACAGAAACCCUAGAGAGCUGGAGAAGUCAUCUCUCAUGGAAAGAGACAGAAAGUGAGGCUCAGAGCUGUAGUGGUACAGCCCAGUGCCUGGGUGGAACCCCACUGCCCUCGCCAAUGCUUGCAGUCAUCCGCCUCCUACCAGCCUCCCCGCUGCAGGAGGAGAGCGGUGGUGGGACUGCCAGGCACUGCCAUGUCCAGCAGUGAAGCUGCAUUUGCUUCCACCCAGAAUCCUGACUUGGACUCAGUUUAUCGUGCAGUUACCUAUGGGUGCCCCAUUGGCCCCCAGUCGGUUGCUUACUGGCUUCUCAUCAUGAUCUGGGGUGGGAAGGGGAAGGUAUGAUUCCCAUUUUCCAGGUUGAAAUCGGAGUUCAGAUAGGCAAGCACUGGCACAGGGCCACACGGCCAGGAAGCGGGUGCACUGGGAUUUGAACCCUGACUUUAGGACCUGUGUUCUUAAAUGCCAUGCCUCUGUGGGUGAACCCCCUGCUCUGGGGACCCCUCCCUGCUUCUCUUUGCCUACUGGCCUAAAUUCCUCCCCCUGUCCCACUGCUGUGGCCUCUGAAUCUGCCCGCCUGGCCCCAUGCCCAGCCCUGGUCCAGCCCCUUGGCACUCUGCCCAGCUGGGGACGUGCGGCUGGAACCCUGCCACCCUUCCUCCAUGUUCCAGCCGAGAACAGGGGGUGGGGCCAGGAGGCCCCAGGGUGAGGCCUGGAAAGGGGGGCUGGGCUGAGGCACCCCACAACCAGGAGGGAGAAAAGCCACUUCUUCCCUUCUCUGAAGAACCAGGACCCAAGAGCACAGGCAUGAAAACAGGGAGCCCCUGCCCACACUUGGAGCUCCUUCUGAGCUCUCUCUUUUGAAUUCUAGUUGGGGUGGGGGCUUGCAAAAAGUGUAGGGGACUUUAGGUUUCAUCUGGGCAAAGACCCUUCUUGGCACUGCCUACGAGUGGCCUGGGAGACCUGGAGCAAGGUUUGGAUUUGAGAAAGGAUGUGGGGUGCAGAUCCAGGGGUCUCUCCGAUGCUGACUUUGUUCCCAAGGGCAUGGUAACUCAGUAGGGUGCCCAUCCCCAAAGUCCUGUCUUCUCUGGGAACCCUCUACCCACAGUGGGCAUUCAGUGCCAUGUGUUGGGGCAGGAAUACUGGGAGCCUCACCUGCAGAAAGAGAAGGGUUGGGGGUAUCGGGGGCCCACUCACCAUAGCCCAGACCCUCUUUGUGCCAUCCUGGGGGCACAGGAGGGGCCGGAGUGUGGCUGGGAUCCUGGUGCGAGUUAUGAGGGGGGUGAUGUGCUGAGGUGGGAUGACACCGCAGGAAAGGGCUGGCCUUGGAUGGUGAGGGGGGAGCACCCUUUCUCAGCCAAGAGGGUCCCCACGCAGCCAGGAGGGGGCGCUGGGGGUUGGGGCAGGGACUGGCCCAGAAGGAUGGAGUUCCCUGGUGGGCCCAGAGCCAGGGAUUGGAAUAGAACAGGAGAGGGGGAGUGGAGUGUGGGUGUUAAAAAACGGGGGUGUGGACCGAGCCAAUCAGACCUGUCAGGCCAGGGAGGAGGAAAGGGGUGAGGCUUGCUGGACGCCUCAGAUUGGGCAGGGAAAACCAAGGCCCUGGGACUUUUUUUGGGGUCCCAUGAGAACCUGGUCAGACAGAACCCCUGGCUGUGGUCCCAGGGUACACUCUGCCCCUGCACCUGUUGAAAGGUGAACACAGAAACCCACCUCUUCCCAGGGUGACCCUGCUGGGCCCCAUGGCAGGGGACACUCCCACUGCAGCUGACAGCCCAUGCUGGUCCAGGCAUGGCACCUCCCCAGAGGGUUUCUCCAGAAUAAGACUGAGUGGGGUCCCGUCCGUCAGCAGCAGCACAGAGUUGGGGUGGCAGAGUGAGACAUAGGGCCAGAGUUUGGUAAGUGGGUCAAGCUUGUUUCCCUUUUAUGCAAGGGGGGGGGGACCCAACUUUUGCAAAGGAUAAAAAGACCCUCUGGGAAGGGUCCCAGGCAGCUGUUAAAAGGAACCUCUCUCUAUAUUUCCAGAAAAACUCAAAGCUUAGGCAAUUAUAGGAACGGUCGAAUCAAAGGCAGUCUCUUCUCUGGAGUUCUGGUGCUCAAUCCUCAGGGACCUCUUUGUAUUUCAAUUUGGGGACACUCUGUAGAUCACAAGGGUCUGAUGGCAAAGCAUAGCCUCAGUUCUGCGGCUUUGUAGACCAGAAGGAUCCGUAUGUGGAGGAAGAAAGCCUCCCCCGAAGCCCGAGCACUGCUCAAAUGCAACUACGUCCAGUUCCCUGGGGACCUGAGUUUCACCUCCCACAGCGGGAGAAGCCAAUUUGGGGUAGUAGAAAAUCGGGGAUCACGACCCCAAAGCCGUUCCUGACAAAUGGGGCAGGACAGCAGGGGACCUGAAAAAAAUAUCCCACCCAAUGCAGUCCCCUAGGGUAGAGGGUGCGGCGGGGAGGUGCCUACAACCACUCGCCUCGGAGCGUCCUAGGCUCACACUCGCACCCCUAGUCUAGGUCAAGGGGUCCCCGGAAGAAGAGCCCCUCCGCUGCCCAUCAUUCCCGUGCCCCAACUCCAGUAUCGUACCUUGCCCGUUGCAGCCCCAGCGCCAUGGCUCGCCAGUCUCUGCUUCCGAACCCUUGGAGACCGCGAGCCCCCUCCCCUGGCCCUAAAAGCCCCCUCCCCAGCUCCACCCCCGACACCUCAUUGGCUGCGCUGUGUCCACUCCGCAGCCGUGGUUGGGCAGCGCUUCUGUCACUCUCAGGUAGGAGGCGCGACCAUAGGAGAAGACUUGGAACUGAAACGUGCGGACUGUGUGUAAUACACACCCCCAGCCACGCCCCUCGCCGCCGACUCCCUCAGCCCAGUGGCCCGCGCCGUCGGUGGCCGCACUUGUCUUGCUCAGCCUCUGAGGUUCAACAGUAGGGUCUGGUCUGAGCCGACCAGCUCGCUUUGUUCCCAGGACUCAGCUGCCACCCCCUAACCUCACUUCCACCUUUCCCACCUCCCCCCUUCUGAUCUCACAAUCUAGUUUGUUACCGGAUCCCCACUUCCCCUCUGCGCCCCCAGCUCCUAACACUACCCCAGCUCUACCAUCCUCGUCUUUCUGCACCCAACCUGGUCGGUCCCCUUCUCCACCCCUUCCACCGCGCCCUAGUCCCAUUGCCCCUCUAACUGCCUUUUUCCGCUGAUGAAUAUUGAAGCUUUUGUCCAAUAAAUAGCUUUAACUCAAUCACAUUUUUAAAAGGAGCAGAGAAAUGGUGUCAUUUUACCAACCAAGUGAAAAGGGAUGGAAAGUCGUCUAGGGCAAAUGAAAACAGUACACUUGAGUAAGAAAAAGCACGUGAAUGUGUGCAUGCAUGCGUGUACACACGCAUAUGCUAAUCCACAUGGAUAGGGACCAGUACACUGGAUGCACUUACAGCAGGGAGAAGCGCACUGCAGCAGAUGUCUAUGGUGCAGCCAAGAGGCUUUGCAGAUCCAUGGGUUUUCUAGGCAAGUCCCACCACAAGUCCUUUGCACAUGCUGUUCUCUUACAUGCUCUUUCUCCAGCACUUGGCUCCCCACUUGACCCUAGUAUCCUAGUCAAUUUUGUUUAGGGAUUUUUUUUUUUUUUUAACAUAGGGUCUCAUUAUAUAGCCUGGGCUAGACUUGAACUCAUAGUGAUCCUCCUGCUUCAGCCUCCCUAGUACUAGGAUUACAGUCAUGUGCCCAGCCUGGGCUUUAUUUAGGAAAAUUAAAUACACUCCUCUCUCAGUCUAUUUCAUCUGUAUAGGGCUGGCUGUCCCUGCCCUCACUGAUUCCAGGAGCAUAGCAGAUCUGGGCCUAACCGGUUUAUGGUUUCCCUGGUCACAGUAAUUACUCGAGGAAGUCAUGUGGCCGGUGAGAAGUUUGGGUUUGCUGUAUAACUGUCAGGAGGGAGUUUUUCUAUUUCUGCUGUAGUUGCCAAGUUGGAGCUGAUGGGCCGCCCACUGCUACAAAGAUAGGAGAGACUUUCUGGGUUGGAAGUCAACACAAAGAGAACAGAAGAGAAAGAUUGUGAAAAUCAGUCUUGAUACCAGCCCUGGGUGCCUGGGUCAGGCCGUACCUGAACCCUGAUUGGACUGGGUUGUCACAUGAACCAUCAUGAGUUCUUUUGUUUUUUUUUCUUGGUUGUUGCAGUUGCUUUAAAAUAUUGUGUUAUUCAUUGACUUUGUCCUGAGAUUAGUUCAAAUGGAUUUCAGCUGCUUGCAACCCCCCCAAAAGUCUUAGUAAACAGACAAAUCAGCUCUCAGUCCUCAGUAUGGCAAAGAAGAAAAUAAGGGGCCUGAAUUAGAAAGGCGGCAGGGACACAAAGUAGAAGAAAUGUUCACGGGAGACACUGCGGAGUCAUGGCUGGUCCCAAGGUGAGGAGGAUCAUGGACAUGUUGGAAGGGUUUGGACAGGGGAAAGAAUAGAAGGUUGGCAGUAGAAAGAACAUACUCAUUAUUUUGGGACAAGGGGGUCACAGCAGAUAACCAAUCUGAGGGCUUACUAGUGAGUAUGGCAUAUUUUAAGUAAACAUUAGAAUAGAACUAAAUUUAUCACCUAUCUAUCCACCAUUUAUCUAUCUGUCUCAGGCAUCUGAGGUUAGCCUUACACUUCACUGGGUAGUCUCCUGAUAGCUAAAGCAAAAAGGAAAAUAUGUCAAAAUGAUUUCCAAAUUAUACUAAAGGGAUGUGUUCUUGUUUUCAGGAGGAAUUUAAGACUUUACUUGUUUUUUGUUUCAGUGCUAGGGAUGGAGUCCAGGGUCUUGAGCAUGCUAGGCAAAUGCUCUACCACUAUGCUACAUCUCCAGCCCAAAACCUUUUUUGUAUUAAAAUGGGUGUGGUGGUGCACGCCUAUAAUCCUAGCACUCAGGAGGCUGAGGCAGGAGGAUUUCUGCAAAUUAAAAUCCAGCCUUAGCUGCAUAGUAAGGCCUUGUCUCAAAAAAAAGACCAAGCAUAAAACAGGCCUUGUUAUGUGAUUUAAUUUCGGGCUAAAGUAUGGAGAAAGCAAAAGUGGUCAGGAGAUGGAUUCUUUGUCUUCAUAAAGGCUUUGGGUUACAGAUGUGUAUGCACUUAUCAGAACUCUUAAAUUUGUGAAUGACACCCUUAAGAUUUAUGCAACUUGUUCUCUGUGACUUUUGCCUUAAAAUAGAAAAUAAAAAAGAGGGCUGGAGACACAGCUCAGUGGCAUAGUGCCCAGCUGGCCAGCAUGAGGUCAUGAGCUCGAUUUCUAGUACCAAAGAAAAGAAAAGAAAAGAAAAGAAAAGAAAAGGAAAGAGACAAUGAAUAUCAGGCUGAGGACUAAGGGGGCAGCGUCCUGAUGCCUUUACCUCUCAUUGAAAUGUGAUUAAAAAGUAAGCUGGAGCCCUGGAUGAGUGGCGGGUGGGUGGAUGCUAAAUAGCUAGGCAUAGGAUAAAGCAGGUAGAGUGGGAUGUCAACAGCUGGGUGGCUGGUAGAAGGUGUUCACUGUCACAUCUUUCAACUUCUUUGUAAGUUUAAAAAUGCUCCCAGUGCAAUAUUGGAAGAAGCAAGAACUAUUUAGGAGGAAGGAGGGUCAUGGGUUGGAGAGCAAGUGAUUAUUUGGUUGAUUUUGAUAAGGUUGAUUUUUGCUUUUGGGGAUCCAUUUUAUUUAUUUAUUUAUUUUGUGUUUUUGAGACGGGGUCUCACUAUGCAGUUUAGGCUGACCUUGGGCUCACCUUGUAGCCUGGGCUGGUCUCGAACUUGCAAUGAUCCUCCUGCCUCAGCCUUCUGAGUACUGGAACUACAGGAGUGUGCCACCACACUCAGCUUGGAAUCUAGUUUUUUAAAAGUACGCUGUACUUUGGGCAUGUGGAAGCCUUCAUGUUUUCAAGAUGGCCUGGGAUCCUUCCCUCUCUUUCUCCUUUUCCUCUACCCUGCAUUUAUCUACCUAACCAUACAUCCACCCACCAAUCCACUCAGUUUUUCCUGCAGAUAUUCACAAUGUGGCAAACACAUGCCCAACACUGCCUCAGGCACUGGGGGUCCAGCAAUGGGCAAACCACCCCGAGUCCUCUCACCUGCUGUCAUGGAGUUUGCACUGUAACUGGACAGACAGACCCUGCAAAAGAAAUGUAACAGAAGUGUAUGUUGGGGGAUGUUACAUAGGAAGGUAAAACCUACUGGGGGGGAAAAAAACCUAGUGGGGAUGGAUGGUGAUAUUUGGAAGGGGUCUGUGAUUAUUAUAAUUAUUUCAGUGCUAGGGGUUGAACCCAGGGCCUUUGCACUGAUUGUAUACCUAGUAUACCUAGCUUCCCCUACUUUUUUUUUUUUUUUUUGGUCCUUUUUAGACAAGGUUUCACUAUAAAGUUCAGGCUUGCUUUGAACUCACUUUGUAGCCCAGGAUGGCCUCAAACUCAUGAUGAUCCUCCUGCCUCAGCCUCCCAAGUGUUGGAAUUACAGGUGUGUACCACCACACCUGGGUACUUUUGAGAAAUGGCCUAGGUCAGACUCAAACUUUUGAUCCUCAUGUCUCAGCCUCCCAGAGUGUGCACCACUGCUCCUUUUCUGAGGGAGCUUGGGAUGUCAUUUCUAUUUUAUGCUUUCUGCCAUGGCAUCCAGCAAGUCCUACCCAGCUUCAAGGAACGACCUAGACUCUGCUCUGGACAGGAAGGGCAAGCUUCUAGAAGGAACAGCAUGUGAGAUUGGACACAGUCGUGUGCCCACCCUGGGGUGAAAAAUCUCACCUUCACACUCUCCAUGGGGGAAGGUAUCAUGGAGCUGUGUCUAUAACCACACCCUGGAAAGAGACCUGGAAGCUGGAUGGUUAUGGUACUGGCAAUAAAUGCAUGUACUGCAGCACUCUGGGAGGCUGAGGCAGGAAGACUGCAAGACUGAGCUCAGCUUGGGCAAAUUAAUGACUCAGUCAGACCUUGCCCCUUCCUCAGAAAAUUGCUUGUCUUACUGACAGGGACAGAGGGUACAGCAAUAACCUCCCAGAACUGUGCUGAACCCCAUUUCUGGUAAGUCCAUAUCUCUAACCCCUGUCUCCACUUCUGCUUCCCGAUGGUCACCGUAGAGGCUCCCCACUCCCACCCAAAGCUGGGGGCAGUUGCUCCUCCUGACUUCAUCUCCACUCCUCCCUGGCGUGAUUCCGCCUCCUAAUCAGGUGGACCCACACAGGGCGGUGUCUCCCGGGCAGGAAGUCUCUCCAGAUGGAAGCCAGGGCCAACCUGCAACCAGGUGCUGGAAGUUAGCAGUGAGUCCCAGUGCUGCAGGUCAGCCCACUGCAGUCCUGUGCUCUUGCUGAAGCAGCACCUCUGCCCCAUGACCUGGGUACCAUUUGAUGGCUUCUGCUCACCUGAGACCCUGCCAGGCUUAACGUGCUGCCUGCCCAGCAUGGCGCUGGGCCCUGGAACAACAGCGUGUCCCUCUGAUACUAACUUUCUGUGCUCUUCUUCUGAGGCCAAAAUAAACUUCCUGCUCUUUUUUUGUGUGCAUGCCGAAGAUCCGCCAGUCCUCUCUCAACACCGUGAUGCAGUCUCCACUGCCAGCCCAACUCCAUAGAAGCCGUUCCCCGGCUUCCCCAGUCUGAGGGUCCUCAGAGUCUCCAGUAACCCUCCCUCACUGCCAAUAGUCUCUCAACUGUGUGCUGAGGAUUUAGCUCAGCAGCAUAAGCACCUGCCUGGCAAGCAUGAGGUUGUGAGUUAGAUCCCUGGUACCCCCACAAAAAAAGUUGAAAAAAGUCUCUCAACUGUGCCAAAAAACCUAACACUUUAGUGUCGUGACUCGGAUUGGGGCAUGCAGCUCCUGGGGUCUACACCCCAACAACAAACCACCCUUCUUUCUCUCAUUUCUGCGUCUCUGCCUUUGCUGUGGCCAGCCUCCAUCCAGCACCAAUGCAAUCCGCCUCCCCCACGUGAGCUGCUCCUCAUUCCGGGAGUUCCUGCCAUUCUCUGUGUCUUGCUCUCAAAAAUCGUAGGCCCCACAUCAGGACUCCCUCACGUCCUUUGAGAUUCCGCUUGAUCCCCUGGUGACAACCUACAGGGCCAACAGGGCACCUCUCUGUCUGUCACCACAAUGAGGGUGACGAUCCUCCCAGGGGUUGUGACUGGCUUUGGCCUUUGGCUCACCUCCGAUUUGAUCACUAUGGGAAAUAUUCCUUCCCAACCCCCAAACCACACUUCAGUUACUUCAAAACCUUAAGCACCCUAGGUGUCCAGGAGACCAUCCAACCAAAAGGACUAAUCUUUUACUGCUGGAAGGCUUGGAUCCAAUAAAAAUUCAAUAUGGCAGCCACUGGCCCAAGGUGGGCACUUUCUAUUUCAGGGUCCUCUGGGACUUAGACAACUUUUGCUACCACAACAUCAAUGGUCAGAGAACCUUACAUGCAAGUACUGCUCUCGGGGCACAUCCCUCCCUCAUUCAGGCAUCUGGGGUGGCCCAAAUACUUCUGGCCCACUCCACGCCACCAAAAGCCUUACCUGACAACCCUACUGAUCCUCUUGAUGAUGUCCCCUCUCCUUUCACCCCCCCCACCAUAUCCACAGAAUCUGUCACCCCUCAACCUCUCCAGCCUCACCCACCCCCUCCCCUUCUCACCCUGCACCCCCUUCCACUUCCUCCUCCUCAGCCCCUCCAUUGCCAUUUUCCCCUCUGGCAUCCUCCACACCUCUGUCGCCAUUUUCUCCUCUGGAACACCACACCUGGUCUCAUCCCUCCCACCUCCCGCCAUCUUCUAGCCCGCUACCAUUUCCUCAACCCCAGCCCCUCCUUCCUCUCUGUGAGGCAGCUGGCCUUGACGGGCUGCUGCGUGUUCAUGUCUCUUUUUCUCUUUCUGACCUAUCCUCAUAAACUAGGCUCCUUCUCCACAGAUCCUUACAAUUAUAUAAAAGAGCUCCAAAGGAUUUAGCUUAGUGGCAUGAGCACUUGCCUGGCAAGCACAAGGUUGUGAGUUCAAACCUUCUUAAAAACAAAAAAACAAAAAACUCCAGGUCCAGCAUUUAGCUCAGCAGCACAAGUGCCUGGCAAGCACAAGGUAGUGAGUAUGAUCCUUAAUACAAAAAAUAAAUAAAGCUCCAAUUCACGAUUAACUCCUAUGACCUACAUUAUAAAGACCUUUAAAUCAUCCUCACAUCCACCUUUUCCCAUCAAGAAAAAACUCAACUGUGGGAAGUGGCCCAAGCCAAAACUGACCACAGAUACCAAGCUGACCCCGAAUACCUCACUGCUGCCAUACCAAAUGCAGCCCUCAGUGGGAUUAUCAGGGAUAUAAUGGCUUAUAAUGCAUGAAUAUAAUCAUUGGUUGCAUAAUUGUGGGCCUAAAUAAAAUUUCUCAUAAAUACACUAACCACUAAAAACCUCAUGAACAAACACAAUGCACUGAUGAAAACCCUGCUGAAUUUCUUUCUUGUCUCACUGCUACUCAAACCAGAUACACUGAUGUCAGCCCCCACCCCCCUGAGGGAAUAGUCCUCAUUAACUCCCUUUCCAUUUCUCAAUCUGCCCCCUGACAUCUGCUCUAAAUUAAAAAAGACAGCUCGGCCCUCAGGCCCCACAGGGAGAGCUCAUAAAUCUGGCCUUCCAUGUCUUCAACAGUAGAGAAGAACAACAACAACAAAAAUUAGGAUAAACAACAACACAACAAACAAAUGCCAGCUUUUGGCUGUGGCACUCGAGGCUUCUGGGAAAGUUAAACCAAAACAAGGGUACCACCUGAACCCCAUCCCCUGACCAUGAUUUAAGUGCAGAAAAGAAGGACAUUGGACAUGAGCCUACCUCAGCCCACAGCCACCCCUGGGACCUUGUCCCAUCUGCAACCAAGAGGUCACUGGAAGUGCGACUGCCCUGUCCCCCAGAGAGUGGGAAAGUCAUCAAACUCCCCACCCUCACAGGAAGCUCAUCACCACCACCGGACUCAUCACUAACUGACCUGCUUGGUCUUGCCACUGAAGAGGACUAACAGGCCUCAGGGGCCAUGACCCUCAUUGAACAAAGGUAUCUUUGGGAGGAGGGUCUGCAUCGUCCUUGACAUGGUGAUGAGGGGCAGCCAAGUGUUGCAGAAGACCAGGACCUAUAGCCAGCAGGAAGCAGCUGGAGAGAGUCAUAACCCUAUAACAACAAAAGAUGGAAUGAUGGGUGCCACUUGUAUGGGACUCUGCCAGACUAAAUGUGGUGCUUGCCCAUGGUGCUGGACCCUAGAAUGACGUUUCCCUCCAUUACUAACUUCCAUGUUCUUCCAAGCCCAAGAUAAACUUCCUGUUCUUCUUUCUUGCAUGCACCAAAGAUCUUCCAAUCCUCUCCUGACACCAUAAUCCAGUCUCCACCCCCAGCCCAACUCCAUAAAAGUUGUUCCCCAGCUUCCUGUCUGAGGGUCCCCACAGUCUCCAGAAGGCCUCUUGUGCCGACAAUAAAGGCUAUUCUUAUCUCUGUC